UACGUAGGGCGCAAGCGUUAUCCGGAAUUAUUGGGCGUAAAGAGCUCGUAGGCGGUUUGUCGCGUCUGCCGUGAAAGUCCGGGGCUCAACUCCGGAUCUGCGGUGGGUACGGGCAGACUAGAGUGAUGUAGGGGGAGACUGGAAUUCCUGGUGUAGCGGUGAAAUGCGCAGAUAUCAGGAGGAACACCGAUGGCGGAGGCGGGUCUCUGGGCCGAUACUGACGCUGAGGAGCGAAAGCGUGGGGAGCGAACAGG
rnacentral:rRNA from 1 species